rnacentral:rRNA from 1 species
GAUGAACGCUGGCGGCGUGCCUAAUACAUGCAAGUCGAGCGAACAGAUGAGGAGCUUGCUCCUCUGACGUUAGCGGCGGACGGGUGAGUAACACGUGGAUAACCUACCUAUAAGACUGGGAUAACUUCGGGAAACCGGAGCUAAUACCGGAUAAUAUAUUGAACCGCAUGGUUCAAUAGUGAAAGACGGUUUUGCUGUCACUUAUAGAUGGAUCCGCGCCGCAUUAGCUAGUUGGUAGGUAACGGCUUACCAAGGCAACGAUGCGUAGCCGACCUGAGAUGGUGAUCGGCCACACUGGAACUGAGACACGGUCCAGACUCCUACGGGAGGCAGCAGUAGGGAAUCUUCCGCAAAGGGCGAAAGCCUGACGGAGCAACGCCGCGUGAGUGAUGAAGGUCUUCGGAUCGUAAAACUCUGUUAUUAGGGAAGAACAAAUGUGUAAGUAACUAUGCACGUCUUGACGGUACCUAAUCAGAAAGCCACGGCUAACUACGUG